rnacentral:rRNA from 1 species
AGCCGACGGUAAUACGUAGGUGGCAAGCGUUGUCCGGAAUUAUUGGGCGUAAAGCGCGCGCAGGCGGCUUCUUAAGUCCAUCUUAAAAGUGCGGGGCUUAACCCCGUGAUGGGAUGGAAACUGAGAGGCUGGAGUAUCGGAGAGGAAAGUGGAAUUCCUAGUGUAGCGGUGAAAUGCGUAGAGAUUAGGAAGAACACCGGUGGCGAAAGGCGACUUUCUGGACGACAACUGACGCUGAGGCGCGAAAGCGUGGGGAGCAA